GAUCAUGGCUCAGAACGAACGCUGGCGGCAUGCCUAACACAUGCAAGUCGAACGAGGGCCCCGCUUCGGUGGGACCCUAGUGGCGCACGGGUGAGUAACGCGUGGGAACCUGCCCUGUGGUACGGAAUAACUCCGGGAAACUGGAGCUAAUACCGUAUGUGUCCUUUGGGACAAAGAUUUAUCGCCAUGGGAUGGGCCCGCGUAGGAUUAGCUUGUUGGUGGGGUAACGGCCUACCAAGGCUACGAUCCUUAGCUGGU
rnacentral:rRNA from 1 species